CAGCCGCCGCGGUAAUACGAAGGGGGCUAGCGUUGCUCGGAAUGACUGGGCGUAAAGGGCGCGUAGGCGGCGAUCAAAGUCAGGCGUGAAAUUCCUGGGCUCAACCUGGGGGCUGCGCUUGAUACUUGGUUGCUUGAGUGGGGAAGAGGGUCGUGGAAUUCCCAGUGUAGAGGCGAAAUUCGUAGAUAUUGGGAAGAACACCAGUGGCGAAGGCGGCGACCUGGUCCUUGACUGACGCUGAGGCGCGAAAGCGUGGGGAGCAAACAGGAUUAGAUACCCCAGUAGUCCCUGUCUCUUAUAC
rnacentral:rRNA from 1 species